GUGAGCUGGCGGACGGCUUCGGAUGCGUAGUCAUCUGAGGAAACUCCGUCCACACCGCAGACUCGCAACGUCCAAAUUAAGGACGUAAGACGAGAGUCUUGGCUCCAGAGCAGAAACGGAACGUCCACUCAACCCAUGACCAUGAUGCGUUCUAACUCGUUGAGAAUGUUGAGUGUGAAACGUUGAAACGGCUGACCUGCGAGGUGGAAGGGCAAAUAGGCGUCGAUGAGGUUCUGCGGGAGACGCGGGUAGCCCGUUUAGUUGAAUGCCGUCUAUUAAAAAACAGAAGGCGGGUUAUGACCAGCACAC
rnacentral:RNase_P_RNA from 1 species